UUUUUAUGAUCAGUUCUCUGUUUGUUGACUGUUUUUUGGAGCGGAGUUACCAGCAAAGACAAACUACUUGUCGGUCUAUAAGUGCAUUAUGAGCGUACGGUGCUGAAUCUGGUGUCUAUUAGACAGUGAAAGGGUUAUUACAAUUCUCCUUUACAUAGACACAUGCAUCCCCUCGUUACCCACUCCACCCUCCCUCCUACAUUAAUCUAUCCAGAUACUGCAAAUGUUAUACAUGUAUACAUAGAAUAACGAAUAAAAAAUGCUAUAAUUCUAGGUGAUAAGGUAAAAUAAUGAUCCUGACUGUAUGUCUGUACUUUAGCAUUCUGUAUACAUUUGAUGUACACAUCACAGCCCCCCUACAUGUGUUUCAUCCUGCAUGCUUUCUAUUUUAGUAUUGGGUCACUGGGGCCACAACACUC